GCCGCGUUAGCUCAGUUGGUAGAGCAGCGGUUUUGUAAACCGCAGGUCGUCGGUUCAAGUCCGACACGCGGCU
rnacentral:tRNA from 1 species